rnacentral:lncRNA from 1 species
GGACCAGGGACUACAAACUCACCUUCAGGGCUCCUAAGCUGCUGCGGAGCUAGACGGCGGGCUGUGGGUGGGGAGGAGACUAGAAUAUUCUGAGACGGGGUCAGGUGGGAGUUGGGAGAGGUAACUUGGAGUUGCUGCCCAAGAUGCAGCUCAGCUCCAGUGGCCACACCAAGACGGUUUAAGACAGAGCGGAACCAGGGAGGUUGUUUUUGGUGGCUGGGGGCUUGGGUUUGAGUUCCUUGAACAGCAGAAGGUGCUUGGAUUUAGGGAGGCUCUAAUUGCCUGGACGAAGAACCCCGAGCUGUCUGGCCGGCCUUUCACAGUAUCCGACCGGGGCGUCCUGGACCGCCGCCAGCUCUAUCUGACCACCUCGGCGCGGGACUUUCGGUUCUAUCCCAAGACGGAGCUGUCCGGAUACCCCCGCAAGGACUCCCUGACCUACUGGAGCUUCGAAGAGACGCCCCAGGUCUGGAGCCACGGCCCGCAGCGGCC